GUGCCCGUAGCUCAGCUGGAUAGAGCACCAGCCUCCGGAGCUGGGGGUCGGAGGUUCGAAUCCUCUCGGGCACGCCA
rnacentral:tRNA from 1 species